rnacentral:rRNA from 1 species
UGGGGAAUAUUGCACAAUGGGCGCAAGCCUGAUGCAGCCAUGCCGCGUGUGUGAAGAAGGCCUUCGGGUUGUAAAGCACUUUCAGCGGGGAGGAAGGCGGUGAGGUUAAUAACCUCAUCGAUUGACGUUACCCGCAGAAGAAGCACCGGCUAACUCCGUGCCAGCAGCCGCGGUAAUACGGAGGGUGCAAGCGUUAAUCGGAAUUACUGGGCGUAAAGCGCACGCAGGCGGUUUGUCAAGUCGGAUGUGAAAUCCCCGGGCUCAACCUGGGAACUGCAUUCGAAACUGGCAGGCUAGAGUCUUGUAGAGGGGGGUAGAAUUCCAGGUGUAGCGGUGAAAUGCGUAGAGAUCUGGAGGAAUACCGGUGGCGAAGGCGGCCCCCUGGACAAAGACUGACGCUCAGGUGCGAAAGCGUGGGGAGCAAACAGG